CAGAAUUUUUGGUCGGGCAUUGCCCCUAAAUGCCCGACCCUGCAGCCGCCUAUGGACCUCCAAGUUCCUUGCACUCAGCUUAAGUUCCUUGCACUCAGCUUAACAAGUUAGGCCAUUUGGGACAGUCUAAAGAUUGUGGUACUUAUAUUGAGUAAAAUAUGCAUAUAUAUACUUGGAGAUUUAUAGUACCAGGCGUUUAUUCAAGCCCGGCCUUUAUUUGAACAUUUACGGUAUUACAUAAUUGUGACAUCAUGCUUUGUGGAUACUGUUGUCCUGUUUUGCCUUUUCUACUAUCCGACCACACAUGUGGGAUUUUCCAUUAUAUGACACUCAGCAAAUGAGUAGUGAUACUGCUAUCAAUAUGGUGGAUCUGAUUACCAUAUUAUUAGGAAAAAUAAAGAUAAUUAAUGUAUAAGGAUGAAGAGCAACUUUACUUUUACUGUUAUCAAUAUGACUAGAAGUUAGAGGAAGCUCAGAAGAACAUUCUCUGGACUCACACUACUGCUGUUAGCACAAGAAUGCUCUACAAACUUGGACAGCAAGAGUUCACUCCUGUCAAAUAUUUUUCAAUUGAUUGUGUUUUUCGUAAUAAGACACUUGACGCAACUCACCUGGCCAAGUUUCAUCUGAUAGAGGGUGUGGUCGCUGAUUAUAAUUUAACCCUCGGGGACCUCAUGGGAGUCCUGUAUGCUUUCUUUAGUAAAAUCGGAGCUUUUUGAAGGAUCAGUCAGUGAUAGCAGGAGAGAGUGUGUAUGCCUCAAAAAAGAAGAGACUUUUUGGAAUAUUUGGAAGCAUGUUACUCAUUUAUGGGAUAUGUGUUGUACCUAGUCUUUUAUUACUUGCUUUCCAGCAAUUUAUUGAUGUACCUCCUGAACUUUUUAUUUGUAUCAGGGUAGGUUUCUUUUUUAUCACAAUAGCCAGUCCUAUUAUCCAGUCAUACUUCAGGCCUGAGAUUAAGAGUGCUCUUGCUUCAUGCUGUCCUCUUCUCUUUUAUUGUGUAUGCUGUUAGUUCAUUCAUUAAUGUGUGGUUGUAACAAUUGAUGUUGA